ensembl:miRNA
UAUUAGGUUAAUGCAAAAGUAAUUGCAGUUUUUGCUAUUAGUUUUAAUGGCAAAAACCUCAAUUACUUUUGCACCAACUUAA